GGGCGCCAUUUUGUGAGGGCGGCUAUAAAGGCGGCCCGGCGCCCGCCCGCCCGUUCAGUUGCUGCUGGGAGCGUAUCGGGUGUGUCUGCUCUGCGCCGGCCUCGCAGCUAACCCACGCGGACUCACUGCCGAGAGAGGCGCGGCCUGCCGCCGCCGCCACGGCCAGAGGAGGCCGCGGAUCCUGCUGAGGGCGAGGGCCCGCUCGCCGCUUCGCAGCCAUGAGCUACGGCCGCCCGCCUCCCGAUGUGGAGGGCAUGACCUCCCUCAAGGUGGACAACCUGACUUACCGCACCUCGCCCGACACGCUGAGGCGCGUCUUCGAGAAGUACGGCCGCGUCGGCGACGUGUACAUCCCGCGGGACCGCUACACCAAGGAGUCGCGCGGUUUCGCCUUCGUCCGCUUCCACGACAAGCGCGACGCCGAAGACGCCAUGGAUGCUAUGGAUGGGGCGGUGCUGGACGGCCGCGAGCUGCGGGUGCAGAUGGCGCGCUACGGCCGCCCGCCCGACUCGCACCACAGCCGCCGGGGCCCGCCACCGCGGAGGUAUGGCGGCGGCGGCUACGGACGGCGGAGCCGCAGCCCGAGGCGCCGUCGCCGCAGCCGGUCUCGAAGCCGGAGCCGUUCCAGGUCCCGGAGCCGCUCUCGCUACAGCCGCUCCAAGUCCCGGUCCCGCACUCGGUCCCGCUCGCGCUCCACCUCCAAGUCCAGAUCUGCGCGAAGAUCCAAGUCCAAGUCGUCCUCGGUCUCCAGAUCCCGCUCGCGGUCCAGGUCCAGGUCGAGAUCCAGAAGUCCUCCGCCCGUGUCCAAGAGGGAGUCCAAGUCUAGGUCGCGUUCCAAGAGCCCCCCCAAGUCUCCAGAGGAAGAAGGAGCAGUGUCCUCCUAAGAAAACGCUGCGGUCUCCUGUUUGAUAAAAGAAUAUUGGCCAGUAUUGCAGAUUUUAACUGAUUUGGCUGAUCCUCCAGGGACCAGUUUCUGUGGGCGUGUAUUGGAGCAGAUGAAUCGGCAAGCAGCUUAACAGAGGACUUUGGGGAAAGGACCACAAACUCAGUCCGUCGGUCAGUGGAAGAGUCCUUGGAACAAGCAACUGGCUAUUGAAAAGGUUAUUUUGUAACAUUUGUCUAACUUUUUACUUGUUUUAAUCUGCCUCAGGUGGCAAACAUCAUUUUAUGUGCCAUUGUGUUGCUGUUAUUCAAAUUUCUUGUAAUUUAGUGAGGUGAGCGACUUCAGAUUUCAUUAUUGGAUUGGAUAUUUGAGGUAAAAUUUCAUUUUUGUUUAUAGUGCUGACUUUUUUUGUUUGAAAUUAAACAGAUUGGUAACCUAAUUUGUGGCCUCCUGACUUAAUAAGGAAACGUUUGCAGCCAUUACACACAGCCUAAAGCUGUCAGCAGAUUGACUCAGCAUUGCCUUCACUCCUUAGAAUUAAAACAGUUGGUGUCAUUGUUUAUAUAUGUUAUUUACCUUCAGGUCUAAAUGAUAAUCUGAACCCAAAUUUGUAUAAAGACUUUUCAGGUGAAAAGACUUAUUUUUUUUGAAGGAUUGUUUACCAAAUACAAUUCUAAUCUCUUCUCUUAUGUAUUUUUGUGCACUAGGCGCAGUUGUGUAGCAGUUGAGUAAUGCUGGUUAGCUGUUAAGGUGGCGUGUUGCAGUGCAGAGUGCUUGGCUGUUUCCUGUUUUCUCCUGGUUGCUCCUGUGUAAAGAUGCCUUGUCGUGCAGAAACAAAUGGCUGUCCAGUUUAUUAAAAUGCCUGACAACUGCACUUCCAGUCACCCGGGCCUUGCAUAUAAAUAAUGGAGCAUACAGUGAGCACAUCUAGCUGAUGAUAAAUACACCCCCUCCCUCAAAAAAAUGGUAAAUCUGAUCCUCGUGUAUGAACUUAAUCAGAAAAUGUUAAGGAAGCAAAUGGUUUGUAACUUUGUAAGUACUUAAAAACAUGGUGUAUCUUUUGCUUAUGAAUAUUCUGUACUAUAACCAUUGUUUCUGUAGUUUGAUUAAAGUGUUUUCUGGUGUUA